rnacentral:lncRNA from 1 species
UAGGGCCCCACCCACAUGGCCUCCUGUAACCUUAAUUACCUCUUGAAAGACUGUCUCCAAAUAUAGUCACGUUUGGGGGUUCAGACUUCUGAAUACGAAUUUGGGAGAGGACACAAUCCUGUACAUAACACCACCCAAGGUAAAAAAAAAAAGAAAAAAAAAAUUUCUAAGCACUUGCAUUUGUUUUUCUUAACGUGGCUGGGAUCAGCCUCCACCCCACUCACUCCAGCCGCCUUCUCAAUCAUACACCUGAUAGAAGACUAAGAUCAUCGGGCGGGGAGGCCCAGUGGGUUACGCGUCUGCCUUCAGCUCAGGUCAUGAUCCAUGGGUCCUGGGACUGAGUCCCAAGUCCUGCAUCGGGCCCCCUGCUCAGCGCGGAACCCCUUCCUCUGCCUCUGCCCUCCCCCUCCCCCCUGCUUGUGCUCUCGCUCGCUCUCAAAUAAACUUAAAAAAAAAAAAAGACUAAGAUGAUCAUAAAUACCUUCUGAAAGGCUUUCUUAGUACCGUAGAGACCUUCUCGACUUUUAUAACUUCUAAUAAUAAUUAUUUUGACUACUGAGAUAAAGUUCUUGCUUACUGCCAGACUCUGGGCUCUGUUCUGCAGAGUCGUGGACCACAACAGCUCAUUGCUCAAUCGGGGCAGUCACGUGAAUUUACUUUGGCUCUUUCUCACUUCCUAAAACCCCAACUCCUGGGUGGGUGACAGUGUGCGUGGUAAGUAUAAAUCACUCAUCAACUUCAACAAACAUUUGUUGAGUACGCCGUAUGUCGAAUUCUCUAAAAGACAGUAGGAAUGCGAAAAUCCGUAAACUACAUUUUCAACUCUUGGAUUCAGCUUCAGGCAGGUGCUCCUUUAGUGGUGGGAAACCGCGACACCCACAACCACCACAAAUGCCAACAUCCGCGUGGUUGCCGCAGUGAAGGUGCUUCGGGCCGGAUCCUACUCCCGGCUCCACUUCUUCACCCCCGCCCCACGCCCUUGGCCGUGUUCAGAAUGCUUGGCCCCCUGACUUGCCCGAGCUGAAAGCACACGGUGGAAGGGACAGCGGGGCCCCGAGCCCGGGCCUCGACGCCUCCAGACGCCUGUCCCUUUCUUCUGAUUCCUGUGCUCCUGCCAUUCCCACGAGGAAGGCACGUCCAGGCGGGCGCACCGGUUCCAGGAGGAGGAUGAGAGACACGUGGGGCUGAGCCGGAUGAUCCUGCCAAGGGGACCCUGGACAAGCCAGUCCCCCAGGCCCGCCAGGAUGGGAAGGCCCAGCCCGU